UACAGAGGGGGCAAGCGUUGUUCGGAAUUACUGGGCGUAAAGGGCGCGUAGGCGGCCGCCUAAGUCAGACGUGAAAUCCCUCGGCUCAACCGGGGAACUGCGUCUGAUACUGGGUGGCUUGAAUCCGGGAGAGGGAUGCGGAAUUCCAGGUGUAGCGGUGAGAUGCGUAGAUAUCAGGAGGAACACCGAUGGCGAAGGCAGGUCUCUGGGCUGACACUGACGCUCAUGCACGAAAGCGUGGGGAGCAAACAGG
rnacentral:rRNA from 1 species